ACUCCUACGGGAGGCAGCAGUGGGGAAUCUUGGACAAUGGGCGCAAGCCUGAUCCAGCCAUGCCGCGUGAGUGAUGAAGGCCUUAGGGUCGUAAAGCUCUUUCGCCAGGGAUGAUAAUGACAGUACCUGGUAAAGAAACCCCGGCUAACUCCGUGCCAGCAGCCGCGGUAAUACGGAGGGGUUAGCGUUGUUCGGAUUUAUUGGGUUUAAAGGGUCCGUAGGCGGGUUAAUAAGUCAGUGGUGAAAUCCCAUCGCUUAACGAUGGAACUGCCAUUGAUACUGUUAGUCUUGAAUGAGGGUGCAGUGGUUGGAAUGUGUAGUGUAGCGGUGAAAUGCAUAGAUAUUACACAGAACACCGAUUGCGAAGGCAGAUCACUAACCCUAAAUUGACGCUGAGGGACGAAAGCGUGGGGAGCGAACAGGAUUAGAUA
rnacentral:rRNA from 1 species